ACGUCAAGUCCUCAUGGCCCUUAUGGGCUGGGCUACACACGUGCUACAAUGGCGGUGACAGAGGGAAGCGAGGGUGCGAGCCUGAGCCGAUCCCCAAAAGCCGUCUCAGUUCGGAUUGCACUCUGCAACUCGAGUGCAUGAAGUCGGAAUCGCUAGUAAUCGCGGAUCAGCACGCCGCGGUGAAUACGUUCCCGGGCCUU
rnacentral:rRNA from 1 species